rnacentral:rRNA from 1 species
UACGUAGGGGGCAAGCGUUGUCCGGAAUCAUUGGGCGCAAAGCGCGUGUAGGCGGCUCGGUAAGUCCGCUCUGAAAGUCCAGGGCUCAACCCUGGGAUGCGGGUGGAUACUGCCGAGCUCGAGUCCGGAAGAGGCGAGUGGAAUUCCUGGUGUAGCGGUGAAAUGCGCAGAUAUCAGGAGGAACACCAAUGGCGAAGGCAGCUCGCUGGGACGUAACUGACACUGAGACGCGAAAUCCUCGGGAGCAAACAGG